rnacentral:rRNA from 1 species
CGACCUUUAGGGCGCAGCAGUCGCGAAACUCCGCAAGCGUGAAUCGGUACGGGGGUCCUCAGUGCCAGUCUAAAUGGGUGGCUUUCUUUAGUGUAAAAGCUAUUGGCAUAAGGCGUGUGCAAGACCGGUGCCAGCCGCCCCGGUAACACCGGCAGCUCUAGUGGUAGCCAUUUGUAUAGGGCCUAAAGCGUUCGUAUCCGGUUUGAUAAGUCUCUGGUGAAAUCUCGUAGCUUAACUGUGGGAAUUGCUGGAGAUACUAUUAGACUUGAGGUCGGGAGAGGUUAGCGGUACUCCCAGGGUAGAGGGUGAAAUCCUGUAAUCCUGGGAGGACCACCUGUGGCGAAGGCGGCUAACUGGAACGAACCUGACGGUGAGGGACGAAAGCCAGGGGCGCGAACCGGAUUAGAUACCCGGGUAGUCCUGGCUGUAAACGAUGUGGACUUGGUGUUGCGAUGGCUUCGAGCUGUUUCAGUGCCGAAGGGAAGCUGUUAAGUCCGCCCCUUGGGAAGUACGGUCGCAAGACUGAAACUUAAAGGAAUUGGCGGGGGAGCACCACAACGCGUGGAGCGUGCGGUUUAAUUGGAUUCAACGCCGGACAUCUCCCCAGGAGCGACAUCCGUAUGAUAGCCAGGUUGAUGACCUUGCUUGUCAAGUUGAGAGGAGGUGCAUGGCCGCCGUCAGCUUGUACCGUGAGGCGUCCUGUUAAGUCUGGCAACGAGCGAGACCCAAAUCACUAGGAAGAACGCGGCCGCCUGCUUCUCUCACCAUAUGAGGAGCUCCC